AUGCAGGCACGACCAGAGUCCACCCCGUGCGCGGGAAUCACCUGGUUGUGUAUGUGUCUGUUAGGGCCUGAUGUGUGCGCAUGCACGUGUAGGUUGAGCACUUGA
rnacentral:rRNA from 1 species